AACGUAGGUGGCAAGCGUUAUCCGGAUUCACUGGGCGUAAAGCGCACGCAGGCGGUUUGGCCGGUAGGGCAUGAAAUCUCCUGGCUUAACUGGGAGAGGUUGUCCUAUACCGCCAGACUUGAGGAUGGGAGAGGGAAGUGGAAUUGCCGGUGUAGUGGUGAAAUGCGUAGAGAUCGGCAGGAACACCAGUGGCGAAGGCGGCUUCCUGGCCCAUUCCUGACGCUCAAGUGCGAAAGCUAGGGGAG
rnacentral:rRNA from 1 species